rfam:Candidatus Levybacteria bacterium RIFCSPHIGHO2_01_FTLL_38_26 rifcsphigho2_01_scaffold_6014, whole genome shotgun sequence.
GCCGAGAUGGCUCAGUGGUAGAGCAGCUGUUUUGUAAACAGCAGGUCCCGGGUUCGAAUCCCGGUCUCGGCU